UAAAAAUUUAGUUUAUUUAAAAUAUAAUAUUUACAAUAUUAAGAAAUAUAUUUAU
rnacentral:tRNA from 1 species